GCACUUUCUGUCUCAAACUGUUAUAUAGUACUACAACGCACUAUUUAACUGUUCCUCUCUUCCAACCCAGAGGUACUUGCAUUACGGCAAUGGAAAAAGUGAUCCUUUUCUAUAAAGCAGCUUGAAAUGUUCGACAAGUCACUAACGAGAGUUUCUGGAUGUCUGGUUCUAUGUAGAUGCUAACUUCUUACAAAAAAACAAACUAGUUUCACCUAUAGCUAAUUGAUGAGUUAUUAGGAUUGUGCAUAUACAGAAGUAGAAAAUAAUCAGGCAAUAAAGCAGCAUUGGCAAAAAAUAUUCUUCUGUAAUACAAAUGGCAGAAAUACCCCAACUAAAACCUGCUCCAUCUACAGGUAGCAGGACUUUGCAUUCACUUUAAGAGUUUACAAUUCAGGAGACAUCCUGCUCCAAAUCUGAUUCUGUUGCUGACAUGUCCAAGUGCAAGCCUCUGUCAUCUGAAUUAGCUAAAAUGGUUUCUGCAAAGGCGCUGUAAUAAGAAGUGACUGGGAACAGAAACAGAUUGUGGAAAUAUCCUGUGAAAUCUACAGUCCACAGGCUCCUGUCACUGAAGAAGGGAAGCAGCAAACUAACCAGAGACUUGGACGAUCCAGCCAGAGGCAUCAAGAAGCUUUCCCUUCAGAGGCCAACCCUCUCUCUCCCUAUCUAGAAAAAACAGUGGGCUGGGUUAAAAUUCUUCCCCCUUCAACUGAGGACACCUCUUGCCAAAACGUACCAGAAAGUCAAAAUGAACACACAGAUGGAAAGCCAGUUCCAUCUGAGGCAGCAGGACCUAUGCCCAGCAGCCUUCCAGAUACCUUUGGCAAUCCUGAUGGAGAAAAGAUUCAAGUAGACAAACCAGAUUUGACCACAUCAGUGACUGGACCAGUUAUUCUCCCUUUCCCUGAAGAAUUUUCACUAUCAGACACAUGCCCAGGAAAAGCAAAGGAGACAGAUUCCACUCUUGAGCCUUUACAGGCUAGAAAGCCUACCAAAGACCAGCCAGCAUCCAAGUCCCCUCAACCACUGCAAUAAAAUGAUGGUCACAGUGACAGGGUGGUCUUCCCAUUUGUGUAACAUCUCAAAAUAAAAAAAAAAAAGAAAGAAAAAGCUCA
rnacentral:lncRNA from 1 species